UGAGUACAGUAAACGGAUGCGAUUUUGUUGGACUUAAUUUGUGUACUUGGAAACUGUCACAAAAUGUAUCUGAAUCGGAAGAAUUUACUGUUUUACCUCAUAAGAGACAGAUUGAAAAUCUUUGUUCAUACAGAGGAAAAUUCAAGAACUGUUACACGCCGAAAUUAUCAAAAUGUUCAGAUGACUUGAUGUAUGCAUCUACUUUUGCGACGACACUGAAAACAGUCAACUUUAUAUGCACGUCUGGUUUUUCAGAUAUGGUUUUACACGAUGAUUGUUGGAGAAAAUCAGAGGUACAGAAUAGAUCAAAUGCUUGUUAUAAGGACCAUGUUGAAACUGUCAAGAGCCAACUUGAACAUAUAUCUAUGUUAGAUGAUGCUUACACUGAUCUAGUUAAACAAGAAUGGUGCAAAAUACUUCUGGAUUCUUACCAGUGUAUGGAGAAGUCUGUGAGUGACUCUUGUGAACAGUCGUCUGUAGAUGUUGUGACGGAUAUGAUGAACACGGUUUUUGAACAGAUGAACUCAAUAAUGACAUGCCAAGAACCGGAUAGAUCUACAUCCCAAAAAGAAUUUAUCCGUUUCUGGGAAUCCCUCAUAGAAAAUGGAGCAAUGAAUACUUAUCAGGAAUGGUCAAUGGUUACGG